UACGUAGGUGGCAAGCGUUGUUCGGAAUUACUGGGCGUAAAGCGCGUGUAGGCGGCUCUUCAAGUCAGACGUGAAAGCCCCGGGCUUAACUCGGGAACUGCGUUUGAUACUGUCGAGCUAGAGUGUGGAAGGGGCGAUUGGAAUUCCGUGUGUAGCGGUGAAAUGCGUAGAUAUACGGAGGAACACCGAUGGCGAAGGCAAUCCCCUGGACCUGUACUGACGCUCAUGCACGAAAGCGUGGGGAGCAAACAGG
rnacentral:rRNA from 1 species